rnacentral:tRNA from 1 species
GGGGUUGUGACUCAGCGGUAGAGUGCUCUCCUAGAGCGUAUGAGGCCCUGCAUUCGAUCCUCAGCACCACA